CACUGAUUUGAUACAUCUUAGAAAUUCAAAAGUCUAGAGUCUUUAUUGUAUUGUAUUGUGAACACCACUGAUUGUAUAUCAAGUGUUUAAGUCAAACUUAUUUCUUUGUAUUUUUGUUUAAUCAGAAGACUCUUGCCUGCGUGCUUGAGCAUUAGAAGACUCUUGCUUAGUGCUUGAGCAUUGGAAGACUCUUGCGUGUGUGCUUGAGCAUUUUUGAGAAGUCUCAUACUUAGAGAGUAUCGAGCAUUUGUAAUCUUUGUGAUUAUAGUGAAAUCUCCUUGGAAGUGCAAGGGGGACUGGACUACUU
rnacentral:lncRNA from 1 species